AAAGUGUCUCCCAGAAUGUAGAAAGUAUCCACAAGAAGUUGACAAUUCUGGCCUGGAGUGUGACAGCUCCCUACUUUGUACUCCUUAGGAGGCAUUUGUCGAUGAAAAUGUACCAUAUAACAUGCUAUAAUUAGGUUUAGUGUAUAGAAUAUGGUAAUUAAAGUAGUUGAACAAGUCUUUUUAUCAUAAUUAUUUUUUUUUUGAAAUUUCCACGGCUCCAUAGAAGAGCACAAUAAUGUAUUAGCAACAUCAUCAGCACUUAAACAUUUUUUUUUGUUUUAUUAUGUGCAUAACUGGAUGUUAUUGCUCCAUGGCACUAUUCCCAAGAGGAAACUGUACCUAUGAUUCUCAAGCCUUCCUCCCGUGGUAACCAGCAAUGAAGUUUGCAGUAUUUUCAACAAGUAACAUCAAACAUCAUUGGAUGGAGGGUACAGAAACUCUGAAUCAUUUUGUGUACAAUAUAUGUUGGAGCAAAAUGUAUGCAACUUUAUGAUUUGAAAUCUUUUAUUUAUGAUGAUUUCCUGAGAAUAUUUGAUUUUGUAGUAACCACUUAAUAAUCAUAUUAACUGUUUGUAACAAGAACUCUGAGCAGUAAACUUUGAACUUUGAUGAUUAAUGCCAUAGCUUUGAACAGAAGUUGUCUUGUAUUCAUUGCCAUCUUUGGUGCAACUGUAUAUUCUGAGAUUCACAGACAGAAGCUUGUUUGAGCUCAAAAGCAGCAAUUGUUUUAAUAUUACUCCAUUCUGUGUCCUUCAGUAGGUUUCCAGCAAAUUCAAAUGUUUAGAUUUGCAAAGAGUAAUUCUUCUCCUGGUGAUAGGUAAACUCUUUGUUUUAUUAGCUACAGUAUUUGUCUACUCACUGUUGUCAAAAAUGACAAUCAAACCUAAGCAAAAUAGCAAUCAUUUCCUAUGAUGAAUAAAGACAAGUAUGAAGUAUA